UUUGGGAUAACUUCAGGAAACUGGGGCUAAUACCGGAUAGGAGCUCCUGCUGCAUGGUGGGGGUUGGAAAGUUUCGGCGGUUGGGGAUGGACUCGCGGCUUAUCAGCUUGUUGGUGGGGUAGUGGCUUACCAAGGCUUUGACGGGUAGCCGGCCUGAGAGGGUGACCGGCCACAUUGGGACUGAGAUACGGCCCAG
rnacentral:rRNA from 1 species